rnacentral:rRNA from 1 species
UUCAAACUUUUGUAAAGAGAAAAUAAUUGGCAAGUAUAGGAUACAAUAACAAUAUAGUGGUGAAAUACAAUUAUGUUUUUUACCUUCUUUCCUUUAAGUUAAAUAAACAUUGGCAAUAAACAAGGAUUAGAUACCCUUUUAUACAAUGCUCGAUAGAUAUUGCAGGGGACUAAAACUUUCAUAAGUUAAAACCCAAACAACAUGGCGGUGAAUAUGAUUUUUAGGGGAACUUAUCUAAUAAAUGACAACCACCAAGGUUACGCUACCAAUAGAAACUCUUGUAUGCCGCCGUCGUGUGAUAUACUUUGAUAAUAUAUCAAAAAUCAAACGAAUCAAGACAGGUCAAGGUGCAGACAAACUAUUGGAUAAGACGAGUUACAAUAUUAGUUUUUUUUCGGUUAAGAAAUUUUAAUAACACUUAUAAGUAGGACUUAAUAGUAAUAUAUAUAAGUAAUAYUAUCUG